rnacentral:lncRNA from 1 species
GUUCAUAUCCUUAAGCCCUAGAAUUUAGCUGCUCUCAAAUUUUCUCCCCCUUACCCUUACUUCAACGGCAUUCUUUCUUUCAUUCCCUCUCUCACUGUUCCAAUUUCAGAGUUCAAUUUAUUUCUUUCUCUCUCUCUCUCAGCUAAAACUAAAGGUACACCUCUCUCAGCUAAAACUAAAGGUACACCUCUCUCAUCUUAUUCUUCCAUCAUUUUGCAGUUUUCGGGUUAUCUCUCUAUCGUUUUUGUACUUAAUGACUUUAUUUUGUAUAAAUUUUGGUACUUGUUUUUUCUCCUUCUUUUCUUUUCUUAUAAUGUUAUUCUUUGAAAUGCUUGGAAUUUGGACCUGAACUUGGCAAUUUGGGUAAACCGAAUUAAUGGGUGGGCAAUGGGCCGGGUCACUUACUGACAUCCCCUUGAGCUCUAGGGUGUUAGGGUUUUAAAUCUCUGCAGAAUAUAUCCUUUGAGCUCUCUUGGUGUCUGUGAGUGUUUUGAUCCAGGAGUGUUAUGUGCUGUAUUGCAAUUUCCCUGUAUAUUAUAAUGGC